CAGUAGCCGCGGGAAUACGAAGGUCCCGAGCGUUGUUCGGAAUCACUGGGCGUAAAGGGAGCGUAGGCGGCGUGGUAAGUCAGAUAUGAAAUCCCGGGGCUCAACCCCGGAACUGCAUCCGAUACUGCCGUGCUAGAGGAUUGGAGAGGUAGCUGGAAUUCUUGGUGUAGCAGUGAAAUGCGUGGAGAUCAAGAGGAACACUCGUGGCGAAAGCGAGCUACUGGACAAUAUCUGACGCUGAGGCUCGAAGGCCAGGGUAGCGAAAGGGAUUAGAUACCCGGGUAGUCCCUGUCUCUUAUAC
rnacentral:rRNA from 1 species